UACAGAGGGUGCGAGCGUUGUUCGGAAUUACUGGGCGUAAAGCGCGCGCAGGCGGCUUUUUAAGUCCGACGGUGAAAUGCCGGGGCUCAACCCCGUGCCCGCCGCGGAUACUGGGAAGCUGGAGACGAGUAGAGGCAAGCGGAAUUCCGGGUGUAGCGGUGGAAUGCGUAGAGAUCCGGAAGAACACCGGAGGCGAAGGCGGCUUGCUGGGCUGGGUCUGACGCUGAGGCGCGAAAGCGUGGGGAGCGAACAGG
rnacentral:rRNA from 1 species